UCCCGGGUCGUCCAAUGGCAGGACGGCGGAUUUUGGAUCCGUUAAUGGAGGUUCGAUCCCUCCCCCGGGAG
rnacentral:tRNA from 1 species